GGAGGAAAGCAGGGGAUCGCAAGACCUUGCGCUCAUUGAGCGGCCGAUGCCUGAUUAGCUAGCUGGUGAGGUAAAGGCUUACCAAGGCGACGAUCAGUAGCUGGUCUGAGAGGACGACCAGCCACACUGGGACUGAGACACGGCCCAGACUCCUACGGGAGGCAGCAGUGGGGAAUUUUGGACAAUGGGGGAAACCCUGAUCCAGCCAUGCCGCGUGAGUGAAGAAGGCCUUCGGGUUGUAAAGCUCUUUCAGCCGGAACGAAACAGUCACGGAUAAUACCCGUGACUACUGACGGUACCGGAAGAAGAAGCACCGGCUAACUACGUGCCAGCAGCCGCGGUAAUACGUAGGGUGCGAGCGUUAAUCGGAAUUACUGGGCGUAAAGCGUGCGCAGGCGGUUUUGUAAGUCAGAAGGGAAAUCCCCGGGCUUAACCUGGGAACUGCGUUGUAAAAAGAAGGCUAGAAGGGC
rnacentral:rRNA from 1 species